rnacentral:lncRNA from 1 species
AACCCAUACAAAACCAGAAACCAGAAAAACCAGAAAACAUCAGAUGUCUCAGAACACUGUGUAUUUCCAGAUCCUUGUUCCAGGGACCAAGGGAGUGGCCUUUCAUUGUAGGUGAACAAUAAACGUACAAUGUGCCUGGUUUGUUAUCAGCGGCUCUGCAGACAGUAUAUAUAUCAUGUCACACAUGCUUCCAGAGUCAGACACGACAACUAGAGUCAAGAUGAAGCUUCUCGUGGCGUUUCUGCUGGCGGUGCUGGGCUGCAGCCUGUCUGAAGGGCGAAUCGUGACAAAGUGUGAACUGAGGGACCAGCUGGUGAGGGAGACUGCGAACCUGACGGACAGUCAGAAAGUACUGACUGGAAGUAACUUCGUCGCCAAGGCUGUCUGUCACGCCGAGCUGUCGUCAGGUUUUAACACCGCUGUGGUGAACGAGGUGAACCUUGAGAAGAGAGGCGAUGACAGCAAGGAGCAGAAAGACUCUUCUAAACCAAGAAGGCAGCGGAGCCCCAAGGGGCCUGAGCCACCCAAACGGCCCGAGCCACCCAAACGGCCCGAGCCACCCAAACGGCCCGAGCCACCCAAACAGCCUGCACCAGCCCCUCCUCAGCCGAACAACACCUGGAAGCUCUACGGCCUGUUCCAGCUCGGAGACAAAGUGGCCUGCAACGGCACGAGUCCUUCAGCCAACAUCUGUGGGACCAGCUGCAGCGGUGAGUUUCAGUUUGUGUUUUUUUCCAUCUGGAUGUCACAGCUGUCUAACGUUUCUUUCCACAAACUGUCGGUUUGUUUUCUGUCCAGACCUUCUGAACGACGACGUCACUGACGACAUCAACUGUCUGCUGAAGAUCGUCACUAAUCCUCCGUGAGUUCUCUUGUGCGGUCGCACAGUUCAAAUAUCACACACGCUCUCUUAGGUUGGCUUUAUUGUACAGUGACCUCAGUGAAAAUUGCACCUGAUUGGACUUUUUGAUUCAUUCAGACCGACAAAAGGCCGUGAGAGUUCAGAGUCGAGCGAGGAGAGUGGAGAACAAAGGUAGGACAUGCAACAAAGGGCUCCACAAACCUCCCACAGCUGCUGGGACUCUUUGUGUUGUGCCUUUAAUAUUUGAUGGUAAACACCAUCCAGCUUGUGUCCUGUGAUGCAGCAGACAUCAGGGAUUAAAUCUACAGAGAGAGUUUCUUUGUCCUGAUAUGUCAUAUAUUUUCCCUAUAUUUCCACAGAGGACAUGGCUCUGGAAAGGCCCACUCGGACAAGCUGAAAACAAUGUGAGUUAUAUCUUUAUCUGUUCAUUUUCACGUUCUGCUUUUAAUAAAUGACCUGAAAUCACUACAGUUCAUUUACUGAACAUUUGCCGACUGUUGAUCUGCAGGCUGGGGCUGAUCUUCCAGAACGAGUGCAAGGACAAGCAGGACGCCAGCUACUUCGCUGAUUGCCCAUAAUCCUUAAUACAUCUAGUCCCGUAGUUAUCACUGGAAUUACUGACUUCCUGUCAAAUGUCCAGUGACCUGUAAUAUCAAUAAAGUGAAG